rnacentral:rRNA from 1 species
AUUGAACGCUGGCGGCAGGCCUAACACAUGCAAGUCGAACGGUAACAGGAAGAAGCUUGCUUCUUUGCUGACGAGUGGCGGACGGGUGAGUAAUGUCUGGGAAACUGCCUGAUGGAGGGGGAUAACUACUGGAAACGGUAGCUAAUACCGCAUAACGUCGCAAGACCAAAGAGGGGGACCUUCGGGCCUCUUGCCAUCGGAUGUGCCCAGAUGGGAUUAGCUAGUAGGUGGGGUAACGGCUCACCUAGGCGACGAUCCCUAGCUGGUCUGAGAGGAUGACCAGCCACACUGGAAAUGAGAAACGGUCCAGACUCCUACGGGAGGCAGCAGUGGGGAAUAUUGCAGAAGGGGCGCAAGCCUGAAGCAGCAAUGCCGCGGGUAUGAGGAAGGACUUCGGGUUGUAAAGUACUUUCAGCGGGGAGGAAGGGAGUAAAGUUAAUACCUUUGCUCAUUGACGUUACCCGCAGAAGAAGCACCGGCUAACUCCGUG